UACGUAGGGGGCUAGCGUUGUCCGGAUUUAUUGGGCGUAAAGAGCGUGUAGGCGGCCAGGUAGGUCUGCUAUGAAAACUCGAGGCUUAACCUCGAGAUGUCGGCGGAAACCAUCUGGCUAGAGUCCGGAAGAGGAGAGUGGAAUUCCUGGUGUAGCGGUGAAAUGCGUAGAUAUCUGGAGGAACACCGGUGGCGAAGGCGGCAUCCUGGACCGGCAUUGACGCUGAGGCGCGAAAGCUAGGGGAGCAAACGGG
rnacentral:rRNA from 1 species